rnacentral:rRNA from 1 species
GAUGAACGCUGACAGAAUGCUUAACACAUGCAAGUCGACUUGAAGCAAUUUCGGUUGUGGAAAGUGGCGGACGGGUGAGUAACGCGUAAAGAACUUGCCCUUCAGUCUGGGACAACCAUUGGAAACGAUGGCUAAUACCGGAUAUUAUGGAACUCUCGCAUGGGAGGAUCAUGAAAGCUAUAUGCGCUGAAGGAGAGCUUUGCGUUCCAUUAGCUAGUUGGUGAGGUAACGGCUCACCAAGGCGACGAUGGAUAGCCGGCCUGAGAGGGUGAUCGGCCACAAGGGGACUGAGACACGGCCCUUACUCCUACGGGAGGCAGCAGUGGGGAAUAUUGGACAAUGGACCAAAAGUCUGAUCCAGCAAUUCUGUGUGCACGAUGAAGGUCUUCGGAUCGUAAAGUGCUUUCAGUUGGGAAGAAGAAAGUGACGGUACCAACAGAAGAAGCGACGGCUAAAUACGUGCCAGCAGCCGCGGUAAUACGUAUGUCGCAAGCGUUAUCCGGAUUUAUUGGGCGUAAAGCGCGUCUAGGCGGGUUCAUAAGUCUGAUGUUAAAAUGCGGGGCUCAACUCCGUAUUGCGUUGGAAACUGUGAACCUAGAGUAUCAGAGAGGUGGGCGGAACUACAAGUGUAGAGGUGAAAUUCGUAGAUAUUUGUAGGAAUGCCGAUGGAGAAGUCAGCUCACUGGAUGAAUACUGACGCUAAAGCGCGAAAGCGUGGGUAGCAAACAGG